rnacentral:rRNA from 1 species
AGCGGCGAACGGGUGAGUAAUGCAUCGGAACAUGUCCAUGUCGUGGGGGAUAGCCCGGCGAAAGCCGGAUUAAUACCGCAUACGCCCGAGAGGGGAAAGCCGGGGACCGCAAGGCCUGGCGCGAUUGGGUUGGCCGAUGUCCGAUUAGCUAGUUGGUGGGGUAAAGGCCCACCAAGGCGAUGAUCGGUAGCUGGUCUGAGAGGAUGAUCAGCCACACUGGGACUGAGACACGGCCCAGACUCCUACGGGAGGCAGCAGUGGGGUAUUUUGGACAAUGGGGGAAACCCUGAUCCAGCCAUUCCGCGUGAGUGAAGAAGGCCUUCGGGUUGUAAAGCUCUUUUGUCCGGAACGAAACGGUUACGGCUAAUACCUGUGACUACUGACGGUACCGGAAGAAUAAGCACCGGCUAACUACGUGCCAGCAGCCGCGGUAAUACGUAGGGUGCGAGCGUUAAUCGGAAUUACUGGGCGUAAAGCGUGCGCAGGCGGUUUUGUAAGCCAGAUGUGAAAUCCCCGGGCUUAACCUGGGAAUGGCAUUUGG